UUAUCCCUCUCGACACAGGGCUAUCAUGCUCCCCCUCUAAUCCUGCUCAUCAUCAGAGAUACACAGAUUAUCAGCCACUAAGGGACAUGCUCAAGUGGUUAGGGUCAAGCACCUGUGGUAUUGAGCAGAAUAUUUUCUGUAACGAUAUUUCUGCUUCAGCAACUCAGCAGUGAAUCUGUAUGAAAUGUAAUGGCAAUUAGGCCAGUUUGAAAAUAUUGAUGUCCUGAUCAUAAAAGCAAAGUUUGAAGGGAAUAGAAGUCAUUUCCUUUGGUUUCCAGAUAAAAUCAAAUAAGAAAUAACACUUAUUGACCAAAGACGAAUAAUAAUAAAAAUUUUAUUA